rnacentral:rRNA from 1 species
UAUACAUGCAAGUCGAGCGGACCGACGGGAGCUUGCUCCCUUAGGUCAGCGGCGGACGGGUGAGUAACACGUGGGUAACCUGCCUGUAAGACUGGGAUAACUCCGGGAAACCGGGGCUAAUACCGGAUGCUUGAUUGAACCGCAUGGUUUCAAUCAUGAAAGGCGGCUUCGGCUGCCGUUUACAGAUGGACCCGCGGCGCAUUAGCUAGUUGGUGAGGUAACGGCUCACCAAGGCGACGAUGCGUAGCCGACCUUGAAAGGGUGAUCGGCCACACUGGGACUGAGACACGGCCCACACUCCUACGGGAGGCAGCAGUAGGGAAUCUUCCGCAAUGGACGAAAGUCUGACGGAGCAACGCCGCGUGAGUGAUGAAGGUUUUCGGAUCGUACAGCUCUGUUGUUAGGGAAGAACAAGUACCGUUCAAA